rnacentral:rRNA from 1 species
GACGAACGCUGGCGGCGUGCUUAACACAUGCAAGUCGAACGGAAAGGCCUGCUUUCCCUUGUGGAUUGCGGGUACUCGAGUGGCGAACGGGUGAGUAACACGUGAGUGAUCUGCCCCCAACUUGGGUAUAAGCCUGGGAAACUGGGUCUAAUUCCCGAUAGGACUGCAGGGUGGUGCUUGUGGUGGAAAACGAUUUUCUAGUGGUUGGGGAUGAGCUCGCGGCCUAUCAGCUUGUUGGUGGGGUAAUGGCCUACCAAGGCGGCGACGGGUAGCCGGCCUGAGAGGGUGGACGGCCACAUUGGGACUGAGAUACGGCCCAGACUCCUACGGGAGGCAGCAGUGGGGAAUAUUGCACAAUGGGCGGAAGCCUGAUGCAGCGACGCCGCGUGGGGGAUGACGGCCUUCGGGUUGUAAACUCCUUUCGACCGCGAGGAAGCCACCUGGUUGGAAGGGUGGUGACGGUAGUGGUAGAAGAAGCACCGGCUAACUACGUG